AAUUUACAUAGUUUAUAGUUUAGAACAGCUUCAGCAAUAGUUUACACGAUAGUUUCCUCACUAAUUUCCCUGUUUUCUCUUUUGCUAUGCUAUGGUCUAUUUUCACAGAUCAGUCAAACUGUUACUGCUAAUUCUUUAAAGAGGCGAUUGCUUUUCUGUUUAAAACCCUUCAUGGCUGCCAAUUAAAUAAACAAAAGUUCUUACCACUUUCUAAGAAGCUUUAUGUGACCAUCUCCCCAUGGAGUGUGACCUCAUCUCCUCUGCUGUAUCACAUUGGCAUCCUUAGUGGAACCUCACGGGAUGCAAAAUUUUUCCAAGGGAUGUGCAUCUGCAGACAGUUUUAAGGGACUAUUGUCAAGAACUGUGAAGGAUCUGAGCUUACAAGUUAGCCUGCUUCAGUUUUAUGGAUGCUGGCAGAAGACACAUAACUGUUUGGUCAGAGACAGAAAGACUUCCAUUAUUUGCAGCACAACACAGAGUUGCACGAGCUUCAUCUUUGCUCUGGUUCCUGUUUUCCCUCAAGUUUACUGGAGAUGAUGACAAGGAGUUCAAGUUGAUGCUACACACAGUUUGUGUCACAGAUGAAGAACUCCAAGUAAAGGAAACUUAAAUCUUUAAUAAAUGAGCAGUAAGCA